AGUGCUGUGAUGAGCUGUUAACAUAUAAGAAGAGCUCCUAGGAAAAGCUCUUCGAUGCGAUGUAUUUUGUUACGCUUGGCUUCUGAGCUCU